rnacentral:rRNA from 1 species
AGAACGAACGCUGGCGGCGUGGAUAAGACAUGCAAGUCGAACGCUGAUUUCAGGGUAGCAAUAUUCUGGAGUUGGAGUGGCGCAAGGGUGCGUAACACGUGGGUAAUUUGCCGUGAAGCCCGGAAUAACUCGCUGAAAGGCGAGCUAAUACCGGAUGUGAUUUUUGGAGGGCAUCCUCUGGAACUCAAAGCUGGGGACCGUAAGGCCUGGCACUUCUCGAUAAGCCCGCGGCCUAUCAGCUAGUUGGUGAGGUAAUGGCUCACCAAGGCUAAGACGGGUAGCUGGUCUGAGAGGACGACCAGCCACACUGGAACCGAGACACGGUCCAGACACCUACGGGUGGCAGCAGUCGAGAAUUUUCACAAUGGGCGAAAGCCUGAUGGAGCGACGCCGCGUGGGGAUGAAUGGCUUCGGCCCGUAAACCCCUGUCAUUUGCGAACAAACCUUAUACAUUUAAAAGAUGAUGAGCUGAUUGUAGCGAAAGAGAAGGACGG